CUUAGAAGAGAGUAAAGAAAUCUACGUGCAUUCCUGAACUUGGCUCUUCACUGUGAGACAGAUCAAUGGCACUACUGGCCUUGCUGCUGUUCCUGCUGCUACCUCCAGUUCCAGGCAGCUGCCUGCAGGGGGGUCCAACAGGUGAAAG